AUGCCAGUGGCAACUGUGCCCCUGAAGGGGUGGUGGCCCACGCACAGCUUCCGUCCCCCAUCAGUCCACGCACAGCUUCCGUCCCCCGUCAGUCCACGCACAGCUUCCGUCCCCCGUCAGUCCACGCACAGCUUCUGUCUCCCGUCAGUCCGGUACUCCAGCAGCGGUGAAAAUCUCCUCAGUUCUUGUCUGUUCCAUCAGGCCAGCCCACCAUCUGAGCCCCAAACUCGAGUGCUCACCCUGCAGCCCGGGUUGGGAUGUCUGUGCUCCAGGCUGGAGACCACAGUGAACCUCCGCACAGAUGUGCCUCCACCACCAGCUGUGUGCCUGCUGCUCUGUAGCCCCUGGGAUUCACAGAUGGAAAGUUCUCUGAGGCUCAGAGAGGUAAAGGAAGUGGCCCAAGGCCACACAGGAUUUAAAGACUGCUUGGAAUGACUCCGAACGCCACCUUGGUCAUGACGGUCAUGAGCACUGAGCUUCACCUGGGGUCCCCCAGAAGGCACCAGCGUCAGCAACCGGGACCCCUGUAGCUCUUCCAAGGCAGCUGACACCCCCUAUGCCCCCAGUGGCUAAAGACCACAGCUCAGCCAGCCAGAGGGCCUGGCCAGGGUUGACCUCCAAGACACCAGCCAAUGCCUGCGUCCAGGUUGCUGCCAGCUUUACCCCUCAGACCGCCCGUCCCUGCCGCUCCUCCGGCCACAGCGUCCACCCUGCAACCCGCCGUGGGCCUGCUGACCCCUGGUGGCAGCCGUGGGGCAUGGCACCAAGACGUGGACUUAAUUCCCAGACCCUAAGGAGGAGGGCACUGGUCCAGGAGCUCCCCAUGCUUGGGAGAGCCCCUGCGAAGGGUUCUGGUGGGGGCCAGAGCCAGGCAGGCAGGGCAGCGUGGCCAGCACCCAGCACCUUUUGCAGGCGCUCAGGAGGGAAGAGGGGGCUCCGGGAAAGGCUGCCCUGUAGUUGCUCCCUUUUCUGCUCAGGCAGCAGCUGACAGGGGAGGCCAGUUAGCACCAGGGAUCCUCUGGCCAUGACAGUCCUGCCACCAUCGACAAGCAAGUGAAUGAGGACUGUCCUGCCCAGAGCCCAGCCAAUCGGCACUGCAGACAAGGGACGCUGACCUGGACUGGGUCCCUGGCCAGGUCCUAGACCUGGAAGGGCUCUGCCAUCCCAUUCACAGCCCCCAGGCCACUGAUGGCAGCACCUGGACCCUGGACCCUGGACCCUGAGCCCUGGUCUCAAUCAUGACGUCUGUGCUGGUGCUGUCUGAGCGUGGCUCCCCGGGGAGCCAACAUCGCACCAAGUGCCAGGACCUCCGGCUUUGUCUGUUGCAUGAUUUCUAGGAGCAAACAGCCUGCAGCCGCUGAUCAGCAGCCAUCGGACAGGCACGGAGCAGAGCCCACCACGACGGCAGCAGCAAGUGGGCUUCCCAGGCUUCCCAGGCUUCCCAAACGUGUAUCCACUAAACAAUUUAAAUUGCUUUUUUUUUAAGCAACUGGCAUUUACUCUGUUGGCAUCUUAUUAAACUUCCCCCUCUUGAGCUCCUCAAAUAUGCAAGUCACUGUCAUUCCAAAUAAGGGGACUAACAGUUGAAAUGGCAAGGCAGCGGU
rnacentral:lncRNA from 1 species